rnacentral:lncRNA from 14 species
CCACCACCCGCUGCCUCCCACCAGCAUGAGACCAGGAGAGCAGCCAAAACGUUCAUCUGGGCACUGGCUGAAUUGGUCACUUCAUUCUGCCCAUUCCUCAUGGACAACAGAUGGUGCAUCACCUCCUGAAGUCCCUGUCAUCAGAUGUACAUUUUCUAGUUUGAGACGCUUACAAGGACAGUAA